rnacentral:rRNA from 1 species
UGGGGAAUAUUGCACAAUGGGGGAAACCCUGAUGCAGCGACGCCGCGUGAGUGAAGAAGUAUUUCGGUAUGUAAAGCUCUAUCAGCAGGGAAGAAAAAAGACGGUACCUGACUAAGAAGCCCCGGCUAACUACGUGCCAGCAGCCGCGGUAAUACGUAGGGGGCAAGCCUUAUCCGGAUUUACUGGGUGUAAAGGGAGCGUAGACGGUAUGGCAAGUCUGAAGUGAAGGCCCAGGGCUUAACCCUGGGACUGCUUUGGAAACUGUUAAACUAGAGUGCUGGAGAGGUAAGUGGAAUUCCUAGUGUAGCGGUGAAAUGCGUAGAUAUUAGGAGGAACACCAGUGGCGAAGGCGGCUUACUGGACAGUAACUGACGUUGAGGCUCGAAAGCGUGGGGAGCAAACAGG